UGUGCUCGAAAGAGAGCCGGAACACAGGUGCUGCAUGGCUGUCGUCAGCUCGUGUCGUGAGAUGUUGGGUUAAGUCCCGCAACGAGCGCAACCCUUGUCGUUAAUUGCCAUCAUUUAGUUGGGCACUUUAACGAGACUGCCGGUGACAAACCGGAGGAAGGUGGGGAUGACGUCAAGUCCUCAUGGCCCUUAUGGGUAGGGCUUCACACGUCAUACAAUGGUCGGUACAAAGGGUUGCCAAGCCGCGAGGUGGAGCUAAUCCCAGAAAGCCGAUCGUAGUCCGGAUUGCAGGCUGCAACUCGCCUGCAUGAAGUCGGAAUCGCUAGUAAUCGUGGAUCAGCAUGUCACGGUGAAUACGUUCCCGGGUCUUGUACACACCGCCCGUCACACCAUGGGAGCGGGUUCCGCCAGAAGUAGGUAGCCUAACCGCAAGGAGGGCGCUUACCACAGCGGGGUUCGUGACUGGGGUGAAGUCGUGACAAGGUAGCCGUAGGGGAACC
rnacentral:rRNA from 1 species